CCCCUGCAUCAAUUAAAGAAUACCCACCAGAAAUGAAGCUCCUGCAUCAAUUAAAGAUUACCCACCAGAAAAGAAGCUACUGCAUCAAUUAAAGAAUUCCCACCAGAAAUGAAGCUCCUGCACCAAUUAAAGAAUACCCACCAGAAAAGAAGCUCCUGCAUCAAUUAAAGAUUACCCAUUAGAAACGAAGGUCCUGCAUCAAUUACAAGAUUACCCACCAGAAAAGAAGCUCCUGCAUCAAUUACAAGAAUACCCACCAAAAAAGAAGCUCCUGCAUCAAUUACAAUAUUAUCCACCAGAAAAGAAGCUCCUGCAUCAAUUACAAGAAUACCCACCAGAAAAGAAGCUCCUGCAUCAAUUACAAUAUUACCCACCAGAAAUUAAGCUCCUGCAUCAAUUACAAGAAUACCCACCAGAAAAUAAGCUCCUGCAUCAAUUAAAGAUUACCCACCAGAAAAGAAGCUCCUGCAUCAAUUACAAGAAUAACCACCAGAAAAGAAGCUCCUGAAUCAAUUACAAGAAUACCCACCAGAAAAGAAGCUCCUGCAUCAAUUAGAAUACCCACCAGAAAAGAAGCUCCUGCAUCAAUUACAAUAAUACCCACCAGAAAAGAAGCUCCUGAAUCAAUUUCAAGAAUACCCACCAGAAAAGAAGCUCCUGCAUCAAUUACAAGAAUACCCACCAGAAAUGAAGCUCCUGCAUCAAUUACAAGCUCCUGCAUCAAUUACAAGAAUACCCACCAGAAAAGAAGCUCCUGCAUCAAUUACAAGGAUACUCACCAGAAAUGAAGCUCCUGCAUCAAUUUUGCCCAGCUCAAGUCAUACUGGAUGCACCUUUCUGGUUUUCUAUGUCUUAUUUCAUAUUUUUCAUGCACAACCGAUACAGGUUUAUUAUCUCGUCAGGAUCCCAUUUAAACUCGGUAUACGCUUGGAUCAGCUCCCUUUCCUGGUACAAGACCCGAAGACCCAUGGUACCAGGCUCAGGGUUUUUCUAUUUUUCUGGUUUUGACUAAUCCUUGACAAUGGAUUUUGUCCUACUGAUAUCCCUGACCCAGCUAGUCUUGACCCUGAUUUAGUUCUUUCUUUUUUUCUGAUUUUGUGUUUGUCUUUGCCUAGUAUAUCUGUCCUUGGAGUUCGUAGUUUAAGUUCUGCUACUUCCUAUUUCUACACUAAGCGUUAAGCCUGGCCACUCUAAGGUCCGGUAAAACACCUUCACUAUUGCUCUCGUUGUGCUUUUUGUUAGGUGUUGGCUAAUAUCUUGCUGAAGAUCCACUUCAUUCCUGACAAGUGUACUAUCUUCAUUCUUCAACUGUUGCCAUUUGUCCUGGGCACCAUGGAUUCAGGACGCUAUGGAUGUAGUUCAGUGAAAUAAAUGAUAACAUAGAAACAUAGAAUGUGACGGCAGAUAAGAACCAUUCGGCCCAUCUAGUCUGUGGUAGUUUUUCUUCUUUUAAAUAUAGUCUCCUCCUUUACCCUGUUGAUUCCCUUUAUAUAUUUAAAUGUUUCUAUCAUAUCCCCCCUGUCUCGUCUUUCCUCCAAGCUAUACAUGUUAAGAUCCUUUAACCUUUCCUGGUAAGUUUUAUCCCGCAAUCCAUGAACCAGUUUAGUAGCCCUUCUCUGAACCCUCUCUAAGGUAUCAAUAUCCUUCUGAAGAUACGGUCUCCAGUACUGUGUACAAUACUCCAAGUGAGGUCUCACCAGUGUUCUGUACAAUGGCAUGAGCACUUCCCUCUUUCUUCUGCUAAUACCUCUCCCUAUACAACCAAGCAUUCUGCUAGCAUUUCCUGCUGCUCUAUUACAUUGUCUGCCUACCUUUAAGUCAUCAGAAAUAAUCACCCCUAAAUCCCUUUCCUCAUAUGUUGAGGUUAGGACUCUAUCAAAUAUUCUGUACUCUGCCCUUGGGUUUUUACGUCCAAGAUGCAUUAUCUUGCACUUAUCCACAUUAAAUGUCAGUUGCCACAAUUCUGACCAUUUUUCUAGUUUACCUAAAUAUUAAGGAAAGCAAUAUUUAAGAAAUGUGUAACAAAUAAAAAUGUAUACUAGCAUUAAUGUAUCCCAUACAUAGUAAUUGUUAUAGAUCAUGGGUCUCUGUCUGUGAACAAGGUCAUCUAGUUUCCCAGACUAUUUAUAUAGAUAUUGGACUAAAAUAUAUGUUUCCCCACAUAAAAAUAUUCCAUGUCAUUAUCUUGAAUUUUGUCAUUGUGCCAAAAAUAAGUAAUUUUCUUUAUAAGAUGGAUGUGGAAACGAAUACUGAUCAUAAAAUAAAAUCAGAAAUAUCUGUGGAUUAUGGGUUAGUUAAUGCUGAAAUAAUACCCUUUACACACUUUGGGGGCCUCACACUUAAAAUCGAACACAACUUUAUGAUGUAGGAAAAUAAGAAACUGGUGAAUGUAUUGCUCACUAAAUUGCUUACAGAGCUGUUUAAUUGGGGAUCUGUCAAUGGUCGUUGCAUUCAAUUUAAAAGGCUUUAAGGUGUUUUAGCUGGAAGUCCCCUUCAAGUUAAAGCAUGUUUAACUUGGAAAAUAUUGAGCUGAUAAUUCUUUUCUAGACCCCUGUCUGGUGCAGUAGUUAAUCCUACCGAGAAACAACUCUACAUAAGGCCACUAGGGGCAACCUUAGCACGACCCAUCCAUGUUGUUGGCAGCAUUCCCCAUCUUACUGCAUCGUUUCAUUGAUGAAGGUAUGCUUGGUGAAAGUAUGAUUCAUCUCCUGUAACUGUCAAAUAUUCUACCAACCUACUUGUGGCGAAACUAACCUCGCCACUGGGCCCUGGAGAAGCCUGGUUGCUCGUCUGCUGCCUCAAGACUAUGGCCCCCAUGUAAAACCCUUAUUCCUCCCUGCAGAAAAGCUUGUUCGUGCCUUUUCGCCUGGGCGUUCGGUAAAUUGAAUUUACCGAACAAACAUACAAAUGACCGGACCACCUGUGUAGGGAGUGUGCCAGCAAUUUACCUCCUAGAAGCUGCGGUUAACCGCAACUUAAUUUACGAACGCUGGGUGGCCGUCGUUCGUAUAGCCGAACACGUGGCGGCGGCCAUCUUAAACUGUCAAAUGCACAGCGGUGUUCAUCGAUGAUUCCAUGGAACUGGAAACGGACACUUUUCUUCACGAAUACCGCUGAAACCGCCGAUCUCCCUUCUCCUGCCUCAUUCAUUCAUACAAGCGCCGGGCCGUUCGGGAGAUUAAAACGACGAACGGAGCUACCUCAGAUAGCUAUCCCAUGGAGCCCAUUCGUAUAACAAAAGACUAAAUGAAAGACUUUAGCUCCAUGGCGAUUGAACUGUAUGUAUGUGAUCUGAGCGUCAUUCGGUAAUAAUGUGCACUCAGAUCUAAGCUAUCUGGGGAUACGUUAAAUGUGUGUAUUGUAUUCGGUAGUUUAGAAGUUAUAUAUUUUUAUGUAUUUUUAUUGCCAUGUGUAAAAUGGAGUUUUGCCUCUAUCCUCGGAGAUAAUUGAGUUACUUCCCAACUAUCUCCAGGAUAGAGAGGAGGGGUUACAAUGUGCCUGUGGGAGUGUUUUAUCUCUGUAAUGCUCUGAUUGGUUACUGUUGUAUUUUGUCCCAGUUUUCCACCAGGUCCCCUAGGGGAGUGUCCACCUGGUGGGAGACCUUCAUAAAUACUGGGCAGGUAGCCCACAUUAAACCAGAUUCCUGCUUGACCCUCAAUACAGAGCCUCGUCUCGUACUUGGGGGGAUUUAUUCGUGUGCUUAUCCUGUUCGGCUGUUUGGAGUGUAAACCUUUCGGAUGGUUUUUCCUAUUCGUCAGUUUGGAGUGUAAACCUUUUGUAUGGUUUUUCCUGUUCGACGGAUUGGUGUAUUGGGUAGCUGCCUUUGUAUCUAAAAGGGAAUAUCUCCUAAACGGCUUUAACCCCCUUUUAUGGCCGGGGUGCCGUUACACUACUUUUCUACCCUUACCUUUUCCGUCACUUUACCCCACUCCCUCGAGCAUGUAAACUCAUUGAGCAGGGCCCUCAAUCCCUCUGUUCCUGCUCGUCCAACUUGUCUUGUUACAAUUACGUGUUUGUUAGUCCACACAUUGUACAGUGCUGCGGAAUUUGUUGGCGUUAUAUAAAUAAUAAUAAUAAUAAAAAUAAGUGUGGCAGUGUGGAUGGUGGCUUUACAACCAUUGGCUGCUUAGGCAUUUCUCAAGGUAUUAUCCUGUAUUCUACUGUAAGACACAUUAUCAUGACAAUAAUUUAAAUCGUAUUGAGUUUUAUUGGUUGUCAAAUUAUGUUUUCAGUAAAAAAACUAUACUGUGCUGUAGAAGUCAUUUUUUUUUUCUUAUUGUUUUUGGACAUUUGUAAGUUUAAGAAAACUUGCAUUUAUGAAAGUGGACAAUAUGUAAGCCAUCACAAAAAAUAGAGCUGGUUUUUGUUGUAGCUCUUUAGUGGCCCUUAACCCUUGUUUAUUUAAACAUCUCAUAAAAAGUCACUGCUGGUCACAUUUCAUAUGGGUCCAACAGGGACAUUAGUACAUGGAGGGAUAUUCCGGGGGGUGAACAAUAACCAGAUUCGUUCCUAACAUCUGGAUUCACAGAAUUCAGACUGAUCAGGAGCUUUAUCAACACCUGCUAUGGUACGACAUAAAGUAAGCAUAAAAAAACUGUUAACUCAAGUGUCUGUGAGGCAGUGACUGAAUAUGAACGUUUCAGACCAUGGAGAAGAGAGCAAAUAUCUCUGUGGAUUAUUUAUCCUGAGUAAAAAUCUAAAGAUGCCAGCAUUGUCGUAGAGUUGUGUGCAUUCCUAAAAUCUGUCUUAUCAAACAUCAACUCUCAUCAGACUUCUCCCCCUUUUCAUUUACCCACUACAGCCACUGGUGAUGAUAUCUCCACCAAGCCUCUCAUAUCUAUCAGAACAAUGAACAGCUAUGGUUUAGUUGCAUUUGCUGUUUAUAGAGAGUUCAAACAUAUUUCUAAAUUAGUUUUCAAAAUGUUUAUGGGAAGAAUAUAGUGUUAUUUAUGUACAUGGAGCAUAUGGAGCAAUGCCAAAUAUAUUUGGGAAAGCAUGAAAUAGACUCUAGGGAGAGAUGGUUGAGCAUAAAUAAAACCUCUCCAAGGAAUUAAGAUUAUAUUUUCACAUAGAAAAUCCAGUCAACUUUGAUUUAAAUGUUGGUUUGAUCCUAUGAUGUGUGCCUUCCACGAGCUCUGAUGGUUCAUGCUCCGGCUCAUUCCAAUGCAAACUUGUAGAUUUAAUUCUAUAAUCUAAAAGAGAUGUGAAUUUCCAAAACAAUUUAAUGUAUCACUUGCUCAUUCAUUAAACAGUCUGGAUCCUUGGCCAGCGCUGGCCUUUCCUGGUUCUCAUCUUAUCUCUCCCAACACACAUUUAACAUCACAUUUCUUAGCGCCACCUCAUCCCCACUAUCCAUCUCAGCUGAAGGCCCUCAAAGCUCUGUUCUUGACCCUCUGCUCUGUUUUUUUUCUAUUUAUACUGCCCCAUAUGGUAAACUUAUUAGCUCUUUUGGAUUUCAUUACCAUAUGUAUGCUGACAACACUCAUAUUUUUUGUUUGGAUGUGGAAACAUGUAUUGGGGUGGUAGAGGUGUACUGCUGAAUAUGGAGAGAUACAUUGGGAAUGGGGAGAUGUAUUGUUGGCUGUGGAGACCUGUAUUAUGAAUGGGUAGAUGUACUGUUGGACCUAAAGACAUUGUGCCUGUUUGGUUUCGGAGAUAUUAAGCAUUAUAUUUUAUCAAACCCCUCCCACUAUAUAAUCCGUGUUAUUAAAAGCAAAUAUUUUAAAAGCAGCUAUACUAUUUGUUUGUGCUAUAUUUGUGAUGAUUGUCUGUGACAGCAUUAUUUUGAAAAUAUGGCUCAUUAAAUAUGAUCAGCCUCUGCCUGUCUUGCACCCC